rnacentral:rRNA from 1 species
CCAGACUCCUACGGGAGGCAGCAGUGGGGGAUAUUGCACAAUGGGGGGAACCCUGAUGCAGCGACGCCGCGUGAGCGAGGAAGUAUUUCGGUAUGUAAAGCUCUGUCAGCAGGGAAGAAGAAUGACGGUACCUGAAGAAGAAGCACCGGCUAAAUACGUGCCAGCAGCCGCGGCAAUACGUAUGGUGCAAGCGUUAUCCGGAUUUACUGGGUGUAAAGGGAGCGCAGGCGGUUCUGCAAGUCUGAUGUGAAAGCCCGGGGCUCAACCCCGGGACUGCAUUGGAAACUGCAGGACUGGAGUGUCGGAAGGGUAAGCGGAAUUCCUGGUGUAGCGGUGAAAUGCGUAGAUAUACGGAGGAACACCAGUGGCGAAGGCGGAUUGCUGGACAGUAACUGACGCUGAGGCGCGAAAGCGUGGGGAGCAAACAGGAUUAGAUACCCGAGUAC